rnacentral:misc_RNA from 1 species
AUCUCUCAAAACUUCAUUUUUAUGAAGUAAUUUGGAUAUUGGGAGUCAUUGCUGAUGGCUGUUGAAGCUCAGCUUUCCUUAAAUUCCUUGAGGACGAAAUGUUGGUGUGUGAUAAUAAUUGUCUAUACCAAACAAGUCCUUUUGCUAUCUUAAU